rfam:Yersinia ruckeri strain 37551 YRO1b0000013, whole genome shotgun sequence.
GAGGUGAAUGACAAAGUGCUCGCCGCGGUGAAAACCAGCCGACCGUCAAGACGCCGUGAAUACUUCCUUGUCGGCUCGUUCUGCGCCAUCCUUGGCGCGGACGCUUG